rnacentral:rRNA from 1 species
UACGUAGGGUGCAAGCGUUAAUCGGAAUUACUGGGCGUAAAGCGUGCGCAGGCGGUGAUGUAAGACAGGUGUGAAAUCCCCGGGCUUAACCUGGGAACUGCAUUUGUGACUGCAUCGCUGGAGUGCGGCAGAGGGGGAUGGAAUUCCGCGUGUAGCAGUGAAAUGCGUAGAUAUGCGGAGGAACACCGAUGGCGAAGGCAAUCCUCUGGGCCUGCACUGACGCUCAUGCACGAAAGCGUGGGGAGCGAACAGG